CCCCCCUUCCCCUUCCCUUCCUGCACCCUGGGGAAAUCAAUUCUGGCUCAGCUCUCCAGGUGUAGCCCUCUGGAAAGCUGCUGUAAACCUCUUGUAGUUCCUCUCGAGCUGGCAAAACCUCUUUGGUUCCUCCUGCACCAGGUGCAGCCCUCCCUAAAGCUGGCAAAAACCUGUUGUGGUUCCUCUAAAGCUGCUGUAAACCUCUUGUGGUUCCUCUAGGGAUGGCAAAAACCUUUGUGUUCCUCCUGCACCAGGUGUAGCCCUCUUUAAAGCUGGUGUAAACCUGUUGUAGUUCCUCCUACACAAGCUGUAGCCCUCUCUAAAGCUGGUAAAAACAUCUUAUGGUUCCCCUGCACCAGGUGUAGCCCUCUUUAAAGCAGGUGUAAACCUGUUGUGGUUCUCCUGCACCAGGUGUAACCCUCUCUAAAGCUGGUGUAAGCCUGUUGUGGUUCCUCCUGCUCCAGGUGUAGCCCUCUUUAAAGCUGUGUAAACCUGUUGUAGUUCCUCCUGCACAAGGUGUAGCCCUCUCUAAAGCUGGUAAAAACCUCUUAUGGUUCUCCUGCACCAGGUGUAGCCCUCUUUAAAGAUGUGUAAACCUGUUGUGGUUCUCCUGCACCAGGUACCCCUCUCUAGAGCUGGUGUAAACCUGCUGUGGUUCCUCUAAAGCUGGCAAAAACCUGUUGUGGUUCCUUUAAAGCUGGUGUAAACCUGUUGUGGUUCCUCCUGAUCCAGGUGUAACCCUCUCUAAAGCUGGUGUAAACCUGUUGUGGUUCCUCUAAAGCCGACUAAAACUUCUUGUGGCUCCUCCUGCAGCAGGUAGCCCUCCCUAA